AGAGUUUGAUCCUGGCUCAGGAUGAACGCUAGCUACAGGCUUAACACAUGCAAGUCGAGGGGCAGCAUGGUCUUAGCUUGCUAAGACUGAUGGCGACCGGCGCACGGGUGAGUAACACGUAUCCAACCUGCCGUCUACUCUUGGACAGCCUUCUGAAAGGAAGAUUAAUACAAGAUGGCAUCAUGAGUCCGCAUGUUCACAUGAUUAAAGGUAUUCCGGUAGACGAUGGGGAUGCGUUCCAUUAGAUAGUAGGCGGGGUAACGGCCCACCUAGUCUUCGAUGGAUAGGGGUUCUGAGAGGAAGGUCCCCCACAUUGGAACUGAGACACGGUCCAAACUCCUACGGGAGGCAGCAGUGAGGAAUAUUGGUCAAUGGGCGAGAGCCUGAACCAGCCAAGUAGCGUGAAGGAUGACUGCCCUAUGGGUUGUAAACUUCUUUUAUAAAGGAAUAAAGUCGGGUAUGGAUACCCGUUUGCAUGUACUUUAUGAAUAAGGAUCGGCUAACUCCGUGCCAGCAGCCGCGGUAAUACGGAGGAUCCGAGCGUUAUCCGGAUUUAUUGGGUUUAAAGGGAGCGUAGAUGGAUGUUUAAGUCAGUUGUGAAAGUUUGCGGCUCAACCGUAAAAUUGCAGUUGAUACUGGCGACCUUGAGUGCAACAGAGGUAGGCGGAAUUCGUGGUGUAGCGGUGAAAUGCUUAGAUAUCACGAAGAACUCCGAUUGCGAAGGCAGCUCACUAGACUGCAACUGACACUGAUGCUCGAAAGUGUGGGUAUCAAACAGGAUUAGAUACCCUGGUAGUCCACACAGUAAACGAUGAAUACUCGCUGUUUGCGAUAUACAGUAAGCGGCCAAGCGAAAGCAUUAAGUAUUCCACCUGGGGAGUACGCCGGCAACGGUGAAACUCAAAGGAAUUGACGGGGGCCCGCACAAGCGGAGGAACAUGUGGUUUAAUUCGAUGAUACGCGAGGAACCUUACCCGGGCUUAAAUUGCAUUUGAAUAAUCUGGAAACAGGUUAGCCGCAAGGCAAAUGUGAAGGUGCUGCAUGGUUGUCGUCAGCUCGUGCCGUGAGGUGUCGGCUUAAGUGCCAUAACGAGCGCAACCCUUAUCUUUAGUUACUAACAGGUCAUGCUGAGGACUCUAGAGAGACUGCCGUCGUAAGAUGUGAGGAAGGUGGGGAUGACGUCAAAUCAGCACGGCCCUUACGUCCGGGGCUACACACGUGUUACAAUGGGGGGUACAGAAGGCAGCUACCUGGUGACAGGAUGCUAAUCCCAAAAACCUCUCUCAGUUCGGAUCGAAGUCUGCAACCCGACUUCGUGAAGCUGGAUUCGCUAGUAAUCGCGCAUCAGCCAUGGCGCGGUGAAUACGUUCCCGGGCCUUGCACUCACCGCCCGUCA
rnacentral:rRNA from 1 species